GACGAACGCUGGCGGCGUGCUUAACACAUGCAAGUCGAACGGUGACGCUGGAGCUUGCUCCAGCUGAUCAGUGGCGAACGGGUGAGUAACACGUUAGCAACCUGCCCUUGACUCUGGGAUAACCCCGGGAAACCGGCGCUAAUACCGGAUACGAACCGCACAGGCAUCUGCGCCGUUGGAAAGUUUUUCGGUCAAGGAUGGGCUCGCGGCCUAUCAGCUUGUUGGUGGGGUAACGGCCAAACAAGGCGACGACGGGUACCCGGCCUGAGAGGGCGACCGGCCACACUGGGACUGAGACACGGCCCAGACUCCUACGGGAGGCAGCAGUGGGGAAUAUUGCACAAUGGGAGAAAGCCUGAUGCAGCGACGCCGCGUGAGGGAUGAAGGCCUUCGGGUUGUAAACCUCUUUCAGCAGGGAAGAAGCGAAAGUGACGGUACCUGCAGAAGAAGCACCGGCUAACUACGUGCCAGCCGCCGCGGUAACAC
rnacentral:rRNA from 1 species